UAGUCCACGCCGUAAACGAUGUCAACUAGCCGUUGGAUUCCUUGAGGAUUUAGUGGCGCAGCUAACGCGAUAAGUUGACCGCCUGGGGAGUACGGCCGCAAGGUUAAAACUCAAAUGAAUUGACGGGGGCCCGCACAAGCGGUGGAGCAUGUGGUUUAAUUCGACGCAACGCGAAGAACCUUACCAGGUCUUGACAUCCUAGAAACUUAGCAGAGAUGCUUUGGUGCCUUCGGGAAUCUAGUGACAGGUGCUGCAUGGCUGUCGUCAGCUCGUGUCGUGAGAUGUUGGGUUAAGUCCGCAACGAGCGCAACCCCUAUUGUUAGUUGCCAGCGAGUAAUGUCGGGGACUCUAACGAGACUGCCCGCGUAAGCGGAGAGGAAGGUGGGGACGACGUCAAAUCAUCAUGGCCUUUAUGCCUAGGGCUACACACGUGCUACAAUGGCAGGUACAGAGGGUUGCGAAGGGGUGACCUGGAGCUAAUCUCAGAAAGCCUGUCCCAGUUC
rnacentral:rRNA from 1 species